UACACGAGUGGCGAACGGNUGACUAAUCANGUGGGUAAUCUGCCCUGCACUUCGGGAUAAGCCUGGGAAACCGGGUCUAAUACCGGAUAUGAACUCCUGCCGCAUGGUGGGGGUUGGAAAGUUUUUCGGUGCAGGAUGAGCCCGCGGCCUAUCAGCUUGUUGGUGGGGUAAUGGCCUACCAAGGCGACGACGGGUAGCCGGCCUGAGAGGGUGAUCGGCCACACUGGGACUGAGACACGGCCCAGACUCCUACGGGAGGCAGCAGUGGGGAAUAUUGCACAAUGGGCGAAAGCCUGAUGCAGCGACGCCGCGUGGGGGAUGACGGUCUUCGGAUUGUAAACCCCUUUCAGUAGGGACGAAGCGCAAGUGACGGUACCUGCANAAGAAGCACCGGCUAACUACGUGCCAGCAGCCGCGGUAAUACGUAGGGUGCGAGCGUUGUCCGGAAUUACUGGGCGUAAAGAGCUCGUAGGCGGUUUGUCACGUCGUCUGUGAAAUCCCUCGGCUUAACCGGGGGCGUGCAGGCNAUACGGGCAGACUUGAGUACUACAGGGGAGACUGGAAUUCCUGGUGUAGCGGUGAAAUGCGCA
rnacentral:rRNA from 1 species